rnacentral:rRNA from 1 species
GAUGAACGCUGGCGGCGUGCCUAAUACAUGCAAGUCGAGCGAACAGACGAGGAGCUUGCUCCUCUGACGUUAGCGGCGGACGGGUGAGUAACACGUGGAUAACCUACCUAUAAGACUGGGAUAACUUCGGGAAACCGGAGCUAAUACCGGAUAAUAUAUUGAACCGCAUGGUUCAAUAGUGAAAGACGGUUUUGCUGUCACUAAUAGAUGGAUCCGCGCCGCAUUAGCUAGUUGGUAAGGUAACGGCUUACCAAGGCAACGAUGCGUAGCCGACCUGAGAGGGUGGUCGGCCACACUGGAACUGAGACACGGUCCAGACUCCUACGCGAGGCAGCAGUAGGGAAUCUUCCGCAAUGGGCGAAAGCGUGACGGAGCAACGCCGCGUGAGUGAUGAAGGUCUUCGGAUCGGAAAACUCUGUUAUUAGGGAAGAACAAAUGUGUAAGUAACUAUGCACGUCUUGACGGUACCUAAUCAGAAAGCCACGGCUAACUACGUG